UACGUAGGGUGCAAGCGUUGUCCGGAAUUAUUGGGCGUAAAGAGCUCGUAGGCGGUCUGUCGCGUCCGCUGUGAAAAUCCAGGGCUCAACCCUGGACCUGCAGUGGGUACGGGCAGACUAGAGUGCGGUAGGGGAGAUCGGAAUUCCUGGUGUAGCGGUGAAAUGCGCAGAUAUCAGGAGGAACACCAGUGGCGAAGGCGCCGCUCUGGGCCGUGACUGACGCUGAGGAGCGAAAGCGUGGGUAGCAAACAGG
rnacentral:rRNA from 1 species